UACGGGGGGAGCAAGCGUUGUUCGGAUUUACUGGGCGUAAAGGGCGCGUAGGCGGCCAGCGCAAGUCAGUUGUGAAAUCUCCGGGCUUAACUCGGAACGGUCAACUGAUACUGCGCGGCUAGAGUGCAGAAGGGGCAACUGGAAUUCUCGGUGUAGCGGUGAAAUGCGUAGAUAUCUGGAGGAACACCGGUGGCGAAGGCGGCAUCCUGGACCGGUAUUGACACUGAGGCGCGAAAGCCAGGGGAGCAAACGGGG
rnacentral:rRNA from 1 species